GAACGAACGCUGGCGGCAGGCUUAACACAUGCAAGUCGAACGGUUGUAGCAAUACAGCAGUGGCAGACGGGUGAGUAACACGUGGGAACCUUCCUAGGGGUACGGAACAACUCAGGGAAACUUGAGCUAAUACCGUAUACGUCCGUGAGGAGAAAGAUUUAUCGCCCUUAGACGGGCCCGCGUAGGAUUAGGUAGUUGGUGAGGUAACGGCUCACCAAGCCUACGAUCCUUAGCUGAUCUGAGAGGAUGAUCAGCCACACUGGGACUGAGACACGGCCCAGACUCCUACGGGAGGCAGCAGUGGGGAAUCUUGGACAAUGGGCGCAAGCCUGAUCCAGCCAUGCCGCGUGAGUGAAGAAGGCCUUCGGGUUGUAAAGCUCUUUUACCAGGGACGAUAAUGACGGUACCUGGAGAAUAAGCCCCGGCAAACUUCGUGCCAGCAGCCGCGGUAAUACGAAGGGGGCUAGCGUUGUUCGGAAUUACUGGGCGUAAAGCGCACGUAGGCGGAUUGUUAAGUCAGAGGUGAAAUCCCACAGCUCAACUGUGGAACUGCCUUUGAUACUGUCAGUCUAGAGUAUAGUUGAAGUUGGCGGAAUGUGUCAUGUAGCGGUGAAAUGCUUAGAUAUGACACAGAACACCGAUCGCGAAGGCAGCUAGCUAAGCUAUAACUGACGCUCAUGCACGAAAGCGUGGGGAUCAAACAGGAUUAGAUACCCUGGUAGUCCACGCUGUAAACGAUGAUUACUCGAUGUUGGCGAUACACAGUCAGCGUCUGAGCGAAAGCAAUAAGUAAUCCACCUGGGGAGUACGAUCGCAAGAUUGAAACUCAAAGGAAUUGACGGGGGCCCGCACAAGCGGAGGAGCAUGUGGUUUAAUUCGAUGAUACGCGAGGAACCUUACCUGGGCUCGAACGUAAGAUGACUGUAGGUGAAAGCUUACAUCUCUUCGGAGCAUUUUACGAGGUGCUGCAUGGUUGUCGUCAGCUCGUGCCGUGAGGUGUCGGGUUAAGUCCCAUAACGAGCGCAACCCCUACCUUUAGUUGCCAUCAGGUCAUGCUGGGGACUCUAAAGGAACUGCCUACGCAAGUAGUGAGGAAGGCGGGGAUGACGUCAAAUCAGCACGGCCCUUACGUCCAGGGCUACACACGUGCUACAAUGGCCGAUACAGAGGGCAGCUACCUGGUGACAGGAUGCAAAUCUCCAAAGUCGGUCUCAGUUCGGAUCGGAGUCUGCAACCCGACUCCGUGAAGUUGGAUUCGCUAGUAAUCGCGCAUCAGCCAUGGCGCGGUGAAUACGUUCCCGGGCCU
rnacentral:rRNA from 1 species